CAGCAGCCGCGGUAAUACGAAGGGGGCUAGCGUUGCUCGGAUUUACUGGGCGUAAAGGGCGCGUAGGCGGACAGUUUAGUCAGGGGUGAAAGCCCGGGGCUCAACCUCGGAAUUGCCUUUGAUACUGGCUGUCUUGAGUACGGGAGAGGUGAGUGGAACUCCGAGUGUAGAGGUGAAAUUCGUAGAUAUUCGGAAGAACACCAGUGGCGAAGGCGACUCACUGGCCCGUUACUGACGCUGAGGCGCGAAAGCGUGGGGAGCAAACAGGAUUAGAUACUCCUGUAGUCCCUGUCUCUUAUAC
rnacentral:rRNA from 1 species